GGAGAGUUGCCGGAGUGGUUGAACGGGGCAGUCUCGAAAACUGUUGUUUCUGCAAGGGAACCCUGGGUUCAAAUCCCAGACUCUCCGCCA
rnacentral:tRNA from 1 species